CAGGUGAUCCUGGCUGUCUGUCCUGGGGCCACUGACACCGAGUGUGGCUGAGUCAGCUCAUAGGAGGUCGCAGAGCCUGCAAAGAUUGAAAAAAAGAAGUAGAGGUUGGGUUGCAGGUCACAUUGAGCAGAAUGGUGAACCUUCCAGGAGCCUGGCCAUGGAGCUGAGCCGAGCCCUGUUGAGAGAUCACUGAUGACACCUGGCUCAACAGCAAGUGCACCAAAGAUGCAUCAUCUUCCUCCUCCUUCAUCUCCACUCAGGAUACUGCAGAGUCACUUGGCCCCACCGUGAUUCUUCUCCAAAACCAUGGCAAGUGCACGGAGCAGCUAUCUGAGCACCAGGAAAGGAAAUCGCCAUAUGCAGCAGUUUGGGAUGGCCCCAGCAGAUGAACUUCAAUGGAGUCAGUGUGAGACUCCUGGAUUUCCUCAGUGUCCCCUGGCUGGGAUUCCAGACAGCCCCAAACCUGAAGGGGCACAAACCUGAAAACAAAUAGAAGUCCAGAAAGCCCUCUUGUUCAGGAUUGAACAUAGAAAAGAAAACUUAUUUGGUUCAAAGUCAGGGCUCAGUCCCCUGCACAAGCAGGUGGUUCACCCCGUGUUCUGGUCUCUCUUACACCAGCGCCUCUCCCUGGGUUCACACUGAUGUGCUAUGGGUGGACAUGGGGCUUCCUGCACCGGGUCACUCCACAGCCCCUGUACCCUGAAGGCGGGGGAAACCAGCACUGUUCAGUCCCAAUAUGAUGUGAGCCUCAUGGGAAUCCCACUGCCUGGUCACUGCAUUAGAAAUACAAAGAGAAGAAGCAAAUGAGUUUCAAUAAUAUAUUUUACUAACCUAGCAUAUCAGAAAUAUCAUCACUUUCAUAUGUAAUCUAAGUACACUAAUUGAUGAGAAAUUUUCUAUACUCUGCACGGCUAUUACUGUUAUUUGAAAAAUGUGAUGUGAAUGGCCUUCCUCUUUACAAGGAUGAGCUGUGGUGGCUUUUUAAGUGUCCAAAUUGAUAGGCUGAAGGAGGGGUGAAAAGAAUAAUUUAUUUGCACAGGAUGUGGACUGUGGAGAUGGGCAAUGUCCACGUCCCUCAGAUCUCAGAGCACCUGGCAUCCCCACAUCUCCAGGCUCCUGCUUCAGGAGGGCCCAGAGUGACAGCCUUUACCCACAAUGCAGAUGCAGGCUCAUCCCUCAUUCCAGGAGCCUUGAGCCAUUUGGCCGAAGGCACCCCCAGGUACCACAGGGCAGCCCAGGGCAGGCCCUACCAGGCCAGACCUCACCAGUGAUCCCAUCUGGGCCAUAUCUGCAUAUUGUCCUU